AGCUCCAAUAGCGUAUAUUAAAGUUGUUGCAGUUAAAAAGCUCGUAGUUGGAUUUUGGCAGUGUUCGAACGGCACACCGUAAGGUUGUAGCUGGGCGAGCGUUGCUUCCUUCUGUAGACUCUGUCUGUUCUUAAUUGAGUGGGCAAGUAGGAUGCAGAUCGUUUACUUUGAAUAAAUUUGAGUGUUCAAAGCAGGCUUUUGCUUGAAUACAUUAGCAUGGAAUAAUAGAAUAGGACUAUGGUUCUAUUUUGUUGGUUUCUAGGACCACAGUAAUGAUUAAUAGGGAUAGUUGGGGGCAUUAAUAUUUAAUUGUCAGAGGUGAAAUUCUUGGAUUUAUGAAAGAUUAACUUCUGCGAAAGCAUUUGUCAAGGAUGUUUUCAUUAAUCAAGAACGAAAGUAC
rnacentral:rRNA from 1 species